UUAAUUUUGUUAUAGAAAUUACUAGGAUUUGGUUAGGAUUUGAUUUAGGGUUAGGAUUUUGUUAGGAUUUCAUUUAGGAUUAGGAUUUGGUUUAGGAUUUAGAGUUUUGGAUUUAGUUAGGAUUUGAUUUAGGAUUUAGAAUUUGAUUUAGGAUUUAGGAUUUAAAUAGGAUUUGAUUUAAGGUUUAAGAUUUGGUUUAGGAUUUAGGGUUUGGUUUAGGAUUUAAGGUUUGGUUAGGAUUUGAUCAAGAUUUGAUUUAGGAUUUAGGAUUUUAUUUGAGUUUAUUUAGGAUUUAAGAUUUAGUUAGUUUUUGGCCUAAAAUUUGAAUGAAUUCGAAUAAGAUUUCAAUUAGAAUUAAAUUAAGAUUAAAUUGAGAUAUAUUUGAGAUAUGUUUGUACUAUCUUCUCAUCUCUUCAUUGAUUUUUUAAGAGUAGCUUAUGGUAGUUUCAAUACAAUAUCUACUAUGACUACAACAAUCGACCUUAGAUUAAAUGAUGACUAUCAAUACACUAUCAAAGAAUAGUCUAACACUUGCUCUAGAAGAUUCUAAGAAGGUUCAACCUUUGUUAAGUAAAUUCAAUCAAGUAUGUCUUCUGAUUCUCUUAUUUAUAAUAUUAAAAAAAAAUCUUCUAAGUUUCAUGAUACUUCCAAAUUUGAAUUCAAAAAUAAUCUACUCUGCUUUAUAGAUUAAUUAUAUGUUCCAAAAGAAAAAGCACAAUUAUAUAUUCUUUAAGCUCGUUAUAACUUUCUAAUAGCUAGAUAUUUUAAUUACAUUAAGACUUUAUAUUGAAAGACUAAUGUCUUAAUGUCUUCAUAUAUCCAAAAUAUUGGAUAUAUUGAGCGAUUUUUGAUGUCACAAAUAUAUAAUUGAAUAAGGUUCAAGAAGCUUCUUUGAGGUUCUAGAAGGUUUUAAGAAGAUUCUUGAAGAUCUUAGAAGGUUCUAAAAGAUUCUAGAAGAUUCUAAUAGAUUUUAAGAAGGUUCCAAAAGGUUUCAAUAGAUUUUAAGAAAGUUCUAGAAGGUCAUAGGAGAUCUUGGAACGUUCUAGGAGGCUUUAGAUGAUUUAGGAAGUUGCAGAAGAAGGAUCUUAGGCUUGUGUAAGCUCUCAUUUAUGCUCCAAAUUUUUAUUUUUUUAUUUUUUUAUUUUAUGAUAAUUGAGCAUGUUAGAUUAAGAUUUGUAUAAGUAGAAUCUGAUUUUAUUAAAUUUUUAGGAUUUUAACCUUUGAUGGUGUAAAUCCUAGCUUGAUUCCUUGAAUUAGGUUAAUUCAGAUCAAAAUAAUAAGGAUUAAAAAAUUAGAAUAGUAAUUUGGUUAGUUUUAAUAAUUUAAAGGUCAUUAAUCAUUACUUUAAGGGUUGAUUGAGAGUCUAUGAGUUCACCUAAAAUCGUCUCAUAUGAUUUAGAAUAAAUUAGAAUUAGAUAUUUCUAAAAGACUUAGUGAAGUUUAGCAAUGAUGGUUUUGAAUCUUUUUCUUCAACUUCAACAAAUCCAAGCAACAAAGUAGUUUUUUUUUUCAAUUAAUAGAGGCUUUCAAAUACAAUGGCGGCAAUGAAUUCACCCUAUGGAGUGAAGAAAAAUAUAUCACCACUUUUUCUUCCAAUAUAUAAGUGGAGCAAUGAAAUUUUCAUUUUUGAAGGAUUUUACAAUAAUUGCUAAAAUCUUUAGAUAUAAAAACUUUCAUAAAAAUUACAAAUAAACAUAGAUUGAGGCAUGUGAGUAGUCAAUCUUAGCAUAAAAAGGUUUUUUGAACACAAUGGUAAAGUUAUAUUUAUCAAAAAUUUCUUUUUUGAUCACUUAUAAUAACCAUUAGCCUUGAUAACGAAAUUAGCUUUUGGAUGAAUGAAGGCCAUAGAUCUAGAUUAAGAAUCUUAAAAAUCAAGGGUAGAGAUGCAGCCACCCUUUUAUGAGCCUCUACUCAACUAUAUAAGAGAGGCUUGAUUUUUCAAGCCCUUUCUCUCUCCUCUUUUGGUGAAGGGCAAAGCCAUGCCAAAAUUUGGCCAAAAAUCCUAAUCUUAAUUUCAAUUACAUUUUUAAAUCUCAUUGUGAACUUUGUGGGUGGAUGUGUAUGGAUUUUUGGUUAUAAAUGAUAUUCACUAGAUUUUACAACAUGCUUCAUUGUGGUAGAUAGUUCCCUUGGCCUUUCAAAUAUUCUAAGGGUUUCAAAAGCCUCAAAUUUCCCUCAAUGAGUCAUUCAAUUUUUAUAUUUUCAAUGUGAAAUUCCUUGUGGUUGUAGCUUUUGUUGUUAGUUUUUCAAAAAGAUAAGACUUGCUCAAUUUAAAGUGGAAUUGAAUUUUUGGUGAAAUUUUGAGUACAAGGGAGUCGACUAUCUUGACAGUUUGGAUUAAUUAAUUUUGGGAAGGCAUUUCUCAGUACGUUAUUAUUGGAUUAAAUUGAAAAUUUGGAAGAAUUUAGCUUUGUAAGCUAAGCUUUGAAAGACAUAUAUUUUGUUGGAUUUUAAGAAAAUUUGGAUUUUUAGUGAAUUUCUAAGUGAAGAGGGUUGGUCACCAUAGUACUUUAGAUCAUUCAACUUAAAAGGAGUAAUUCUCAUGUUGGAAUUAUUAGAUUGUAAGAAUAUUUAUUGAAAUAUAAGCGCCUUUAAUUUAACCUUAUAAUAAACUAAAAGUAAUUUAAUUUGGAGCUAGUUAUAAUUUUUGGCAAAUUUUGGAAUAGAAGGAAAUCAUUACCUCAAUCUUUUGAUGUUGUCAAUGUACCUUCACUUUUACCUCUCUUAUUUUAUUUUUACUUUUAUCUUCAAAGUGUCUUGUAAUUUCCACAACUAAUAAAUUUUAAGUUUGAACUUUUAACUUUAAUUUUUAAUUUUAACUUUUAAAUUUUAACUUUUAACUUUUAAUUUUAACUUAGACUUAAGUUUUUGUUCUUAUUAUGAAUUAAUAGUAAUAAAUUAAUUCAUUAUUUUUAUCUUUUUUUCAUAGUAAAUUUUAUUUAAUAUUUUAAUUUAAUAUUAGUAACCAUUGCUUGGAAGGCAUUAAUUUUAAUUGAACUACAAAUACUUACAUUUAAAUUAACUUAAUAAUUUCACAAUUGGAAGUUCUUCCAUUCUACCUCUUGAACUUAUUGUGUAGUAUUAAUUCCAUAGAAUAGUGGAUUUUAGGCUCACAGCUUGCUUUGUUCUCAAGUUUCAUGAAAACUUCUCAAGAAGCUUCUUAAGACCUAGUAUAUAUAAGAAUUGAGGCUGAGAAGAUCCUCAAUCUCGACAACUCACUUCUUAUAGUCUAGCCAAGACCUUCUUGCCUUGUAUCUAGUUAGUAUUUUAAUAUCGACCUAACUCCAUUUCUUGGUCUUGAAUCCUUGUCUUGUAUAUGGUCUCUAAUAGUUUGUUGAGAUUACCAUAAAACAAUAUUAAAAGCUUGGUCUUUUUUGAUAGAGAGUGGAUUAUUUUUCUUUUUAGAAGUACUACAAUAUUUUAGAUAUUACGGAUUAUCCUUCCUUAAAUUAAUAUUAUUCUUAUUUUAAUAUCUUUUUGAUUUUUUUUUUAUAGUAUAGAUCAAGUUUUUUUUUUCCUUUAAAUGUGUGUAUUUCUCUGAUUUUCUAUAGCAAAAGGUGAAAAAGUCAAUAUGAUAGAUUUCAAAGAGAUCAAAUUAGACUCUAUUAUUAAUACUCUUAAAGUAUUGAAGAUCAAGACAGAGACUUUGUCAAAGAAGAAUGAAGAAUUAUAUAUGACCAUAUAUAAUAGUCAAAGAGCUAGAGUGCCUCAACCACUACAUCAAAUAACAAUAGAGGUUCCAAAUUUUUAAAUGACUAUAUCUGCUUCAAUAAACAUAGAAGGUGCAUCCACUUAAGGUAAUGAUCUGACUAUAAUAACAACAAAAGAAUUAAGGAUCAGCCUUCUAAAAAAGAUUGAUGGUACCUGCUCAAAAUUUUAUGGCUUUGUAAAUCAAGUACAACUAAUGACCUUCCUUUAACUUCAACAAUCUUCUACUAAAGCAUCUCAUAUUAGUUUGAUUGGAACCUUACUCUCAAAUCAAGCUUUAUCUUAGUUUGCUCUAUUAUUUGAAAAGAAUUUCUCUAUAUUGCACAAUUUUAAAGUAUUUUUGGCAAUAUUUGCGGAAGUAUUUGAUGAACAUGAUAAGUUUCAUUCUUCAAUAAGUAAAAUUUGAAGCCUUUGACAAAGAAUAUAUUUUGUAUCAAUGUAUGCUUUGAAUUUUUGAUAAUUAGCAUGUGAUAUAAAUUGGAGAGAAGAUGUGUUGAUGAACCAAUUUCAUUGAAGAUUAAGAGAUAAUAUCAAGGACUUAUUGUUGUUUAUGACAGAUCUUCAAACACUCAUUGAAGCCAUUACUGAAGCUGUGAAGUGCGAUAACCAUUUAUUUCAAUAAUAAAAAGAUAAAUGUUCCUCAAUUAUUCUUUAUGUAUACACCAAUUAUUCUAUAGCUUCUUUACCAUCCAAUUCUAAUGAGUAUUUGAAAGCAAAAGAUAUGCAAAUUGAUGUACUUUGCUUCAAACUUCUUUCUAAGCAAGAAAAAAAACAUCAAAAGGAACUUGGCUUAUGCUUAUAUUGUGAAAAAUUUGGCCACAAGGUUGAUAAUUGUUCAGAGAAAUGUCAGCGUACAUAUCAAAUGAAGAAUGUAGCCAUAUCAUCAAAAGCUUUGUAGAAAAAAGAGGACGUCUAGCCAUAGUAGGAAUUAAGUGGUUGGAUUCUUUACUAUCACAAAUCAAAAAAAGAUCAUAUAUUCUCUGCCAACCCUUUCUAUUAUUUUAUUAUACAUGUUAAUUAAGAGUUACAAAACUUAAAUAUCAUGCAUUACUUAAUUCGGAAGCCUCUACAUGUUUUAUUGGCAAAGAAUAUUUUAGAUCAUACAAAAUCUGUACACUCAAAAAAUCCAAAGCCGUAGAUGUAGAAGUAAUAGAUAGUUGACCUUUAUUCUUAGGAGACAUCAUUUAUGAAAUGAUUCUAUUAGAAAUAACCUUUGACAAUCAUAGCAACCAAGUAGUAUUUAAUGUCAUUAGAUCACCAUCAAGUCUAGUCAUUUUAGGACUUUCAUGGCUUAAAAAAUACAAUCAUUAGAUAGAUUGAAUAUCGUGAAACUUAAAUUUUUUUCUAAUAGAUUAUAGAACCCUAAGAUCUAUAAAAAAGCUUUGUAACAUACAACAAGCCAAAACUUAAAUAAUAUUUAUUUAUUAAAGCUAGAACAUUUGUGAGGGCGGCCAAACAAGGCACUAUGUUUGUUGUUUACAAAAAUCCAUGAUCAAAACUUGUGGUUGCUACAAUAACAAUUUUAGAAGCAUAUAAGGAUUUUGUUGAUGUAUUUGAAAAACAAAAUGUAAACAUCUUGCCAAAUCAUUGUCCUUACGAUUAUAUAAUUGACCUUCAAGAAGGUACUCAAUGACUGUUUGGAUCCAUCUACAAUUUAUUCCAGAAUAAGCUUACAACUUUAAAAGAGUACAUUGAUGAAAAUUUGGCUAAGAAUUUUAUUUGACAAUCCAAGUUGCUAGUUGGUGCUCUGAUAUUAUUUAUAAAGAAAAAAGAUGGAUCUUUACAAAUGUAUGCAAAUUAUUGUAGUCUUAAUAAAAUCACGAUAAAAAAUUGAUAUCCAUUGCAAUAGAUAUCUAAACUUUUUGAUCAACUUAGCCAAAAAAAGAUCUUUAUAAACAUUGAUUAAUAAGGCAUAUAUAACUUGGUACACAGUAAGGAGAGAGAUGAAUGAAAGACAUCAUUUCACACCAAGUAUGGACAUUUUGAAUACAAUGUCAUGCCUUUUAGACUUAUCAAUGCACCAGCUAUAUUCCAGCACUUAAUGAAUGAUAUAUUUUGUGAGCAUCUCAAUAAUUUUCUUGUGAUCUAUUUAAAUGAUAUUCUAAUCUUUUUUAAAAAUUUGAAAGACCACAAAAAAUAUGUUCGCCUUAUGUUGAAAAAGCUACAAAAUACUAGACUAUAUGCAAAACUAAAAAAGUGUAUAUUUCAUGCACCUCAAGUCAAAUUUUUUGAAUAUAUUAUUUCCAAAAAAAGCCUUUUUAUGGGUCCAAAGAAGGUACAAGCAAUCAUUGAUUAAGCAAAGCCAAAAAAUGUUUGUAAUGUCGAAUGCCUUUUUGGAUUUGCAAACUUCUAUAGGAUUUUUGUUAUGAAUUAUUCUAAGAUUGUUGCUCCAUUUAUACGAUAGAUAAGUAAGGACAAGCUAGAUUGAAGCCUUGAAGCACAGAAAGCUUUUCAAAGCUUAAAAGAUGCUUUCACAAUAGCUCCAAUUUUGAUACAUCUAGAUUUUAAUAAAUCCUACUUUAUGGAGACCAAUGCCUCAGACUUUGCAUUAGAAGCAAACUUAUUGUAAUAUAGAGAAGAUGGAAAAUUUCACCAAAUUAUAUUCCAUUCUAAAAAAUUCUUAGCAAAAAAAAUCAACUACAAAAUCCAUGAUAAAGAGCUACUUUUUACAGUAGAUUUUUUUUUAAAAAUAGUGCCACUUUCUUUAGAGAGCCUCUCAUGAGAAGACUGUAUAUAUAGAUCACAAGAAUCUUGCAUAUUUCAUGAUAGUCGAAGUCUUGAACUAUCACCAAGCAUAUUAAAAUAUAUCUUUAUCAUGAUUUAACUUUUAUAUUGUAUAUUCACUUUGAAGCCAAUAAAAAUUAUCAGAUACAUUAUUAAGACAUUCCUUCCUUGAACCAAAAGAAAGAGAGCUAGCAUAUGAUCAACAAUAGACAACCUUGUUAAAGCCUAAGCAAUUUUAUUUUUAAGCAACCAAUGUAUUAAUAACUAUGGAUUUAUCAUUUCUUAAUCAGGUUUGUAAAGCUUCAACUACAUACCUUCUUGUUCUUAAUAUGAAGCGUCUUGCUAAUAACCUUCCUGAAAAGUCUUCUAAAUUUAAGAUUGAAGAUAAUUUCUUAUUUUUCGAAGAACUUUUGUUCAUUCCUAAAGGAUCAACUCACAUGUGUAUUCUUCAAAUAUGCCAUGACUUCCCUACAGCCAAACAUUUUAUAUUCAACAAGACCUUGGAAUUUUUAUCUAGAGACUUUUGAUGGCCUAAAAUGUAGAAGGAUGUUAAGAAAUUUGUACUAUUAUAAAAUACUUGUUUAAGAUCAAAGAACCCUCAACAUCGAUCAUAUAGACUUCUUCAACUCCUUCUUAUUUCAAGACAACCAUGGUCAUCUAUCUCCAUAGAUUUUAUUAUAGAUCUUCUACCAUCAAGCUCAUUUGAUACUAUCUUUGCAGUUGUUGAUGGAUUUAUCAAGAUGGUAUAUUUCAUACCUUACAAGAAAUCAAUUACUAGUAAAGAGAUGGCAAGACUCUUUAUUGACAACGCCUAUUCUUACUAGGGAUUACCAAAUGAUAUUAUGUCAGAUUGUGGGCCACAAUUUGUAUCAAGGUUUAGGAAGGCACUCUUCAAGAUUCUUAAGAUUGAUAUCAGCCUUUCUUCUACCUUCUAUCCUCAAAUUGAUGGCCAAACGAAGUAAGUCAAUCAAAUUCUUGAGUAAUAUUUGAAAUGCACUAUCAACUAUCAACAAGACGACUGGACUUCUUGCUUAUCAUUGGCAAAGUUUGUAUAUAACAAUACAAUCCAUCUAUCAACGCAACAAACACCAAUCUAUUCAAACUACGGUGUCGUGUUGUAAUAUAACUAUAUGGUGAAAGAUGAUAAUAUGGAUCUUAUUAUAGAAGAGCCAAGUUAAAAGAAAAGCUAGAAAAAUAUAGAUAAAAGAUAGGAAGGUAGUAAAACUUUUAGUAGUAAUGCUUCCUUUUUAGAAAAAAUAGCUUCUACUUACUUUGUAAGGCCAAAAAUAAGGCAAAGUAGGAUAGAUUGGAAAAAAAAAUGAUAUAGAUAUCUUUAGGAGGAAGUUAAGAAUAAAUUCUAGUAAAAAUUACUAAAAACAAAAACUAGAUGUUGAUACCCGGGGAGGGCCGGUUAUGAACCAAGUCGAAAUCAGACCCUGAGGCACAAAACCGAGUCUCGACAACGACUCUGGUACUCUUUGGCAGAUCGGAGAGUGGGAUUUCAAAGAAGAUUGGAUAGGGUUUCUAUGGGUAUUAAUUUUGGAUGAUUUGGAGUUGAUAUGACUUUGUAAGAGCUUUGCAAAGUCAAGGUUUGUUUUGGAUGACUUGGAUUUUAUGAAAUAAAAUAGGGUUUAUGUUUUGGGUGAUAUCAAGAGUUUUGUAAUAGAUCUAUGGGUGAAAAUUUUUGGGUUUAUGGUUAUAUUUGUAUUUAAUAUAUGUUGUAAAUUUAAGCUCGAUCUAAUGGUUGAAUUGAGGAAUAUUGAGGUUUAAGUGGAUCAAGGUCUCAAAAAGUAGAAUUUUAGGUCUAGUAGGGGUUUUUAAGAUUUCUUGCAAUAUACUCAUUGGAUUAGAGUGAAACUUACAUAAGAGAAUAUUAGACUUGAUUUUCUAUGUGUAUAAGAAUUUUGAAAUCAAUCGAAUGGUGCAAAGGAGAGAUAUUGGCUUUGGAAGAUUGGCAUCAAGAUUGGAGAAGGAGGCCGGCCAAUACCCAAGCACAUUUUUGAGGUUAUCAUCAAUUCCAUAAUUCCGAUCCUUUUCAAAUUUUUUUUUGCUUGUUUUUAACUUUUUUUUUUAGAAGUGUGCAAAAUUUGAGUUAAGAUCAACGGUUUAUUCAUUAGUUAUUGAGUUUUAAAUUUGUUGUAGGAAUUACUAGGAUUUGGUUUAGGGUUUGGUUAGGGUUUGGUUUAGGGUUUAGGGUUUGGAUUAGGAUUUGAUUUAGGGUUUAAGGUUUGAUUUAGGAUUUGGAAUUUAGGGUUUAUUUAGGGUUUAGAGUUUGGAUUAAGAUUUGAUUUAGGAUUUAGGAUUUGAUUUAAGAUUUGGGAUUUAGGAUUUAUUUAGGGUUUAGAAUUUGGUUAAGAUUUGAUUUAGGGUUUGGUUAGGAUUUUUUUAAGAUUUAGGAUUUGAUUAGGAUUUGAUUUAGGAUUUAGGAUUUGGAUUAGAGUUUGAUUAGGAUUUGAUUUAGGAUUUAGUUAGGAUUUGGUUUAAGGUUUGUUUAGGGUUUGAUUCUGGGUUUAGGAUUUUAUUAGGAUUUAAGAUUCAAUUAGUUUUGGCCUAAAGUUUGAAUGAAGUUUAAUAGGAUUUUAACUAGAAUUAAAUUAAGAUUGAGUUGAGAUAUAUUUGAGUGAUAUUUGUGAUCCUUCUAAUAUUUCUUUAAGAAUUCUUAUUAUUUGUUUGAAAUUUCUUUGAGAUUUGUUUUUAAUUUGAUUAAGCUUGUUUAGUAUUAUUAUGGUCUAAUUAGAGUAUUUUUAGUAUUCUAUUAGAAUUAGGAUUUUUUAUUAUAAUUUCUAUUCUUUAUUCCACAGCUAGGUACCCAUAGCAUUCUCAAGUAAGACUUCACGUAUUACGACAUAUUUGGUGAAUCCAACGUGAAAUGCUUGAGGUAGAAGGAAUUUGGUUUACUUGGAAUAUUUGAAUUUUUACAAAUUUUUGUAAGUUUUUGCAAGUUUUUUCAAUUUUUUGCAAGUUUUUUGCAAAUUUUUACAAGUUUAUACAUGUGAAAUGGAGACAUGCCAAAUCCCUGAGGCAAAGAUGAUUUCAAGCUUAUAUUUGGCUAUUGAACCUAGAUUUCAAAUAAAGAUGAAGGGAAUGCUUGAAGGAAGUAUAGAAACAUGGUCAAAAUUUUAAGAACUUUUGAAGAAAGAAUUUAUUGAUGGAUAUGAAGAGAGGAUUACCAAGCGAAAGUUUUUGAAUUGGAUAGAGUUUCAAUCAGGCAAGUAUAUGGAUCUUUAUGAAUUCUUGGAAGAAUUUGAUAGGAGAUUUUAUCAACUCUCAUCUUCAGAGAGACGAUCAUUGAGUAUUUUAAAGGUAGAAUUAUUUUUAAAUGGCCUUGAUGAUGCUUUGGGAGAUGAACUUUUCAUGCUUCUUGUAGAUGAGUCAACAGGGAAUGAUUGUACCAAUAAUUGGGAGAAGUUGAAGAAAGUAGUGGUUGAUUUAACAAGGCAACAAGAAGCAAAAGCUAAAGAAGUUGCAAUAUGGCCUAAAAAAACUUCUACUUUGGCUUCUAUGUCAUUUUUAUCAAUGCAAGGGACUUAUCUUAAAAAAAGAGAAAUAGAAAAGCAAGUGAAGGACUUUAAAGGAGAAGCCAAUUCUUUACAAAUGAAAGAAAUUGGAUCUCAUAGCAAAAGUGGUGAAGGAAAGAAGAAAGAUACUUUUUAAACUAUUACUAUAGAAGGCCAAGGUAUCCAAAAAUUUAAAGGUAAUGCAAAGAUUAAGGAUUUGAAAACUAAUGACAAUGCGGUGUCGUGUUGUAACUUGAGUAUACCGUGAAAAUAUAAAGAAAGGGGACUUUUAUUAAUGCUCAGUUACCUCGAAUAUUGGGAGCAACAACCAACUCCAGUGCAAAUAUUGAGUGGCCAGGUUCAGUCACCCCGUUACAGUCAGCCGGGGCAUACUGAAAUGCUCCGUUCGAUUCCAAUAACGGGAGUCAGCAGGAAGGAAAAGGACCAAUUCACACGACGGAUGAGCCUGGUUUGAAGAGCCAAUUGGAUCUAAUUUCAAGAAUCGAAUCCGGGUCCUCUUACCCAAUAUGAGACCUGAAUUGGUCCGGCAACCCAAUGCAGUCUAAUUACAGGAAAAUCCAGGUCUUACUACGGGCCUCAGCCAAUCUGACGUAAAGGACCAAUGUGAUCCAAUUACGGGAACAUCCGGGUCUUACUAUUGGACUCUUAACCAAUAUGAGACCUGAAUUGGUUGGGCGACUCAAUGUGGUCCCGAUUGCGGGGUUUGGAUUUUGUUUCAGGCUGUCCUAUUCUCUGUGUCGUUUCAGGGAACGUUGUUUUUGGUAAAUGGAUCUCUUAAAGGUAAAAACGGAGGAGAAAGCUCUGACGGCGAGAGCCAAUUUUGGAUCUAAGCCUUGAUGGCGAGAGCCAAUUCUGGAUCCAAGCCGGAAGAUUGAGGAAAUUCAGAAUUAAGGUUAAGAAAUGAGAGUGAAGAGGAAGUUUGGGAUUUAUAGUUUUUUUUGGGAAGUUUUUUUUGAAGGAUCGGGGAGAGCUAGCUUCAUGCUUCGGGCGGGGAAAGAAGUCAGAGAAUUGGGUUUUUUUUUCUUCACAGGAUUUUGGGAAGACUGAGGCAAUCGUUGCUGAAGUCAGUGUUGUAAUGGUGAAUCGGGAUUUUUUAAUGAAGUGGGUUUGAUUACUCUUGACUGUUUUGUGAAAUCGAGUUAUGUCUGUGAUUGAAGAAUUAAAAGGAUGUCUAUAGGAUUGAGUAUGCAGAGUGAAUGAAAUUUAUUGGAUUAAUCUAACAAGACAAUCAGUGGAUACAAGAUCGUAAGUACAAAGCGGUAUCGAAGAUUAACAGUUUGGGUUGUUCGGGGUUCUCUGUAAUGUCUAGAGACCUACCGGCUGGGGCAAAAAGGACUUUGACAAGCAGUCGAGGGGCAUCCGUAUAGAUUUACGGUGUAUUCUUGCAGUUGUUUGUAUUCCAACAGUCAAUAACCGAUAAACUGCUUGAAUAUUGGCGAAUCUCCAUACUACCUUCUACAGCCAGACGCCCAGCGCGUUCUCGAGCAGGAAAGCACGUAAUAUGACAAAAGUGGUGUAUCCGAUGUAAAAGCUUGAGGUGGAAGGUAUUGGAUUUCAUUUGAUUUUAUCUUUAUUUUAUGGAAAACGAAAAUAAAAAAUUUUGAAGGAUUUUUGGGAGGAGUUUCUGGUGGGGAUUCUUCUAAAGGACAAGGUAUGCACAUGGAUCCGUCUAUUGCUAGUAUGUUUCAAGCCUUCUCAUUAUCAAUGCAGCAACAGCAAAGCAAUGAUCGAAUGAAAGCUUUGGCAACUAAAGCAUUGCAAGCAGUGGUCAAUAAAAUUGAUCAAUUUGAUGGGAAGAAUAUUUCAAGGUAUUUAAGAUGUUAUAUUCGUGAAAUGGAAUUAAAUCGGGUUUCUGAGAAGAAAAUGGUUGAACUAUUUGGACUUGCCACGAUACCGGAGAUAAGAGACCAUAUUACAUCGAUUACGGAUCGUUAUGAAGAUUCAUGGGAGAUUUUUUUACAUGCAUUGAAAGACAAAUAUUUCUUGGAAGAUGCUCAUCGCGUUACGAAGAAGCUGUUUCAAGAAUAGAUUGAACGGCCCAAUAAGAAUUUGCAAGCAAUAGAGCUACUAAGGGAAUUUGAGCGGCAGUACUCUCAAUUGUCGAAGGUAGAAAAAUUGACAUUACAGCCGAACAAAGUUGAUCUAUUUCUUCAAGCUGCUGAUGGAGAAUUGCAAGGGAAAUUAGAACUCCUUCUUGAAGACAAAGAAGAAGAUGAAGGAUUGACAACAAAGUGGAAGAAUGUUAAAGAUGCGGUGGGGUUGCUUACAAAAAGAGAAAGGAAGAAGGAUAGGAGCAAUAUUCCAAAAAGAGUACAAGCACCCAAAGCUCCAGUACGUACAACACCACCAACAAUGCCUACAGUUCAACCUUCGACAUCCUUAUCAAAGAAAGCAGAUAUGGGAAUGGAAGAAAUUAUACGAGGAAUGCGAGAUCUUCAAAUCAAAUUGGCAAGACUUGAAGAGAAUACUUCUACAAAGAAUUUGAAGAAUGUUUCAAAACAAGGAUAUGUACAAAGAUGCAUUUGGUGUGAUGAUGCUUCACACACUAGAAAAGAUUGCAAUGAAUUUAAUAAUAUGAUACGGCAGGGAAUUAUUUGCUGGAAAGAUGGAAAGAUAGCAUUGAAAGAUAGAGAUGAUCUUCUUCAAACCAAUUUUGGCAAGGGAGGAAUGAGAGCAUUGGUUCAAGAUUACCUAAAAGAGUAUGAAACAGCAGCACGAGAAAGUGCAAGUUAUGGUGCUAGAGUAGAUGAUGAAAUUGGUGGAAGUACGAAAACUAGUGAAUUUUGGGCUUCUGCCAUUUCUACAAUACAAGAAGAGAAAUUACCUCGAGAAGUGUUAUUGAGGACUGCAGCUACAAUACGAGGUAGAACAGGUUGAGAGGAUCCUAUUGAGUCUCUUUCAGUUCAUGCAUAUAUUGCUAAGAGCCAACAUGAAGCUUUGAUGGAAGAAAAGAGACGAGGAAAUUUUGAUGAUACUAAAGAAGGAAAUUCUUCUAAGAGGCAAACUUGAGGAGACAAGGCUCGAGAGGCAGCUUCACAAGAAUUGCAUGUAAAGGAUACCUCAGCAUCAUUGGGAGAAAAAACAAAGGAGAUAAAAGAUAAGGGCAAAUCAAUUGCUUAUAAGCUACUUUUUGACAUUGAAGCGGCAACAAAUUUGAAAGGGGUGUUGGAAGAACAUAUAUUAAAUGCUAAGGUCGAAUUCACAUUAAAAGAAGUUUUGGGAAUUGCAAAGAAAGAGUUUCAUGAUGUUAUCAUUGACAGCAUUAAGCGAAAGAGGCAAUUAAUGGGCGAAACUGGAAUGAAUCAUGCUAUUGAUGCAAGAAUAUAUAGAGAUGAAGAAGAGGUUGGUAUUGGUUACAAGCAACCAACAAAUGAAAAGAAUGGGUAUAAUCAACGAGUAUGUUUCGAAGAUUCUAGUGACAAAGAAAUGGAAACUUUGAGCCAUUAUAUUCGAAAGCAUUGGGCAAGGGCAACUACUGAGGUAUUGGUGAAAGUAGGAGAUAUAGAAGAACCAAUAGUUGCUUUAGUCGACCAUGGUUCUGAAAUAAAUCUCAUGUCUAAAGAUCUUUAUAAGAAGCAAAAAUGGCCAAUUGAUAUAGAACAUGGAUGGGCAAUUCGAGCAGCUAAUAACACACAGGGCGAAUUAUAUGGAGCUUGUCCAGAUGUCAAAAUUCGGAUUGGGGAUGUUGCGACGGAGCAACAUUUCUUUGUUCAAGAUACAACGUCUUAUCUGUUGAUUUUAGGACAACCUUAUAUUGCGGCAGCAUGGAUGGAAACAAAAGUACUGGACGAUGGUUCUGCUUAUGCAAGGGUACGUAGUGAGGAUGGGAGGAAAGCUGCACAAUUUCUAACAGUACCUCCCAACCAUGAACGGAAUCGAGAUAGGUUGAGGGAGAAACCAUUGCCAAAGAUUGUUGAAGGAUUUAAGGAUUUUGGGGAGGUACCACUGUAAAGCGAGAUUAUGGAGGCACAAAAGAGGAGGUACUCUCGUGAGAUGAAGGUGCCUUUGAUGCGAGUUUUAUUGGUAUAUUGGAGAAUGGAAAUAUUAUGUAUAAAAAAGUUGAUGAUUUUAAAAGAAAAGAAAGAAAAAGAUUAUAUGAUAUUGAAGGAAAAUUACGCAAGUUAGGUACAUUGUAAGAUGAUGAGAGGAUUUUAGGUGUUUAUGAAGAAAAUGGACUGGAAGAUUCAUUAGAAUUGAUUACAUCUAUUAGGUUAGGGGAUAAUGAUAAGAUUAUUGAGAUUCAUUCAAGAGAGGUUUAUACCAUACUUGAAUCUUUUCAAGCACCAGAAGUCACUGUAGAGACGAGAUAUAAAACGGCAGAUAAGAAGGUAAGCCUGUUGCUGGACCAUUACCAGAAGAUUCUAAAGAACAAAUAGGAGAAGCAUCAAAAGAAGCAAGUUUAAGAGAUCCAAUGAGUAUUGGACAUCAGUUUACUAGAGAAACUUUUGAAGAAUUGAAGAUUGGUUCUGAUGGUUCUUUAUUGCCGGAGGAAAUUACUUGCUUCAAAAAGAUGUUGGCUAAACAAGAUAGAUCGUUUGCUUUCAAAUCUCAUGAAAUUGGGUGUGUGGAUCGAAAUAUUGUAACACCUAUGGUUAUCUUCACUGUACCACAUGUACCUUAGAAUCUAAGACCGAUUUCAAUACCAAGGGCACAUUUACCUAAAUUGGUUGAGCUAUUAAAAAAAAAGAUAAAGAUGAAAAUAUUGGAACCCUCGUUUGCACCGUAUUCUAGUCGAUGGUUUACAGUACCUAAGAACUCGACAAACUCGACAAAGACGAACUCGACAAAGACGUAGAGGAUAUAUUUUAAAUCAAACAGCAAUUGGAUAAAUUGGUGCAUACCGGAGGAUGCACAGGUUCAGAGGAGGUGGAUGUCGUGUUGUAACAUGAGUAUACCGUGAAGAUAUAAAGAAAGGGGACUUUUAUUAAUAUUCAGUUACCUCGAAUAUUGGGAGCAACAACCAACUCCAGUGCAAAUAUUGAGUGGCCAAGUUCAGUCACCCCGUUACAGUCAGUCGGGGCAUACUGAAAUGCUCCGUUUGAUUCUAAUAACGGGAGUCAGCAGGAAGGGAAAGGACCAAUUCACACGACGGGUGAGCCUGGUUCGAAGAACCAAUUGGAUCCAAUUUCAAGAAUCUAAUCCGGAUCCUCUUACCCAAUAUGAGACCUGAAUUGGUCCGACAAUCCAAUGCAGUCUAAUUACGGAAAAAUCCAGGUCUUACUACGGGCCUCAGCCAAUCUGACGCGAAGGACCAAUGUGAUCCAAUUACGGGAACAUCCGGGUCUUACUACUGGACUCUUAGCCAAUAUGAGACCUGAAUUGGUCGGGCGACUCAAUGUGGUCCCAAUUGCGGGGUUUGGAUUUUGUUUCAGGCUGUCCUAUUCUCUGUGCCGUUUCAGGGAACGUUAUUUUCGGUAAAUGGAUCUCUUAAAGGUAAAAAUGGAAGAGAAAGCUCUGAUGGCGAGAGCCAAUUUUGGAUCUAAGCCUUGAUGGCGAGAGCCAAUUCCGGAUCCAAGAUGGAGAAUUGAGGAAAUUCAGAUUUAAGGUUAAGAAAUGAGAGGGAAGAGGAAGUUUGGGAUUUAUAGUUUUUUUUGGGAAGUUUUUUUUGAAGGAUCGGGGAAAGCUAGCUUCAUGCUUCGGGCGGGGAAAGAAGACAGAGAAUUGGGUUUUUUUUUCUUCAUAGGGUUUUGGGAAGACUGAGGCAAUCGUUGCUGAAGUCAGUGUUGUAAUAGUAAAUCGAGAUUUUUUAAUGAAGUGGGUUUGAUUACUCUUGACUGUUUUGUGAAAUCGAGUUACGUCUGUGAUUGAAGAAUUAAAAGGAUGUCUAUAGGAUUGAGUAUGCGGAGUAAAUGAAAUUUAUUGGGUUAAUCUAACAAGACAGUGAGUGGAUACAAGAUCGUAAGUACAAAGCAGUAUCGAAGAUUAACAGCUUGGGUUGUUUGAGGUUCUCUGUAAUGUCUAGAGACCUACCGGCUGGGGCAAAAAAGACUUUGACAAGCAGUCGAAGGGCAUCCAUAUAGAUUUACGGUGUAUUCUUGCAGUUGUUUGUAUUCCAAUAGUCAAUAACCGAUAAACUGCUUGAAUAUUGGCGAAUCUCCAUACUACCUUCUACAGCCAGACGCCCGGCGCGUUCUCGAGCAGAAAAGCACGUAAUACGAUAGCAGUUGGAAGCUAUGGCUAUUCUAUAUUGAAUAAGUUUGUGCAAGUUGGUGAUGGCAAUUUGGAUGAAAAAUCUCUCGAUAAUAAAAAGGUAUUUUCUACAUUUGAAAGAAGUAAGGAUGUUUUGCCUAAUACUUUGAAUUAUGUUGAAGAAUUUAAGGUUGAACCUUUACAAAAAAUGGAUUAUGAAUCCAUUGAAGGUUAUAAUCAUGAAGAUUGUAUGAAUUCACAACAUUAUGAUGUGAGAAGUGGUGGGAUUAUGCAUGGAUCUGAUGAUGAAAGUCAAAUUGCAUAUGGCUAUGAGACCACAUAUGAAUUGGGUGAAAGAAGUUAUGAGUUUCCACAUGAAGAGGGUUAUGUAAUUGCACAAGCUUAUGAUACUAAAUGUGGUUGUGAAACCACAAAGGAUUAUUUUGAAAGUUAUGAGACUUUUCAAGAGCAUGAGAUUUCAAAAGGGCAUGAGAAUUUUCAAUAUUAUGAGGUUAUACAAUGCUUUGAGACAACAAAAGAUUAUGAUGUUUCAGAAGGAUGUAUUCAAGAAGAUAUGAAGGAUGUUAUACAAGAUUAUGUCGCAAAUAAAGAUUAUGGGAUAAAAGAUAAGGAUGCUAAGUCAUUGACUAUGAUUAAGUUAAUUAUGAGUACUUCACUUUUGGACCAAGGUCAAACUUACAUAGAUAAUGUACAUGUAAUGGGAACACAAUUGGAUUUUGACAAAGAUAAGAUUCAUCAUGAAGUAUGGAAUUCAAGGGUUGAAAAUCUAAAAAACUUCAAAUAUAAUGACAUGGAAAAUGGAUUUAAAGAUUACAUGGACAUCUUAAAUGGGACUUGGAAUCAAAGAAAUAAGAAAAACGAUACAAGGAAGAUGUAUGUAGCUAUGAGGAAGAGGUUUCAAUUCAAUCUUUUCAUUUCAAAUUUUGUACAUUAACAAUGGUUUGGUCAUGUGCAAAGGAGGAUAUUUGCAAAGUACUUGCACAUGUGGAAUAAAUGAAAACAUUGGCAUUAAAAAAAAUAAUAAAAUAAUAAUAAUAAUAAUUAGAGAAGUAUCAUUGUAAAGCAAGACUAUGGUGGUAUUAAAAGGGAGGUACAUUUAUAAGAUAUAGAUGCCUUUGAUUUAAGUUUUCUUACAAAAAAAAAAAAAAAAAAAAAAAAAAAAAAAAAAAACUAGAGAAGUAUCAUUGUAAAGCAAGACUAUGGAGGUAUAAAAAGGGAGGUAUAUUUACAAGAUAUAGAUGCCUUUGAUUUAAGUUUUCUUGAAAAAAAAAAAAAAAAAACAAAAAAAAAAACAAAUUAGAGAAGUAUCAUUGUAAAGCAAGACUAUGGAGGUUUAAAAAGAGAGGUACAUUUACAAGAUAUAGAUGCCUUUGAUUUAAGUUUUCUUGAAAACAAAAAGAAUAAAAUAAAAGAAAAUUGGAGAAGUAUCAUUGUAAAGCAAGACUAUGGAGGUAUAAAAAGGGAGGUACUCUUAUAAGAUAUAGAUGCCUUUAAUUUAAUUUUUAUUGGCAAAAAAAUAUAUAUAUAUAUAUUGAAAAAGAAUUAUUUGAGUUGACAACAUUAAAAGAUGAUGAAAGAUUUUUGAUAUUUAUCAAGAAAAUAGAUUGGAAGUUUCUUGGAAAAAAUUACAUAUAUUCGAUUAAAGGAUGAUGGCAAUGGAAGCAAGUGAAGUUACUCAAACAAAAGCAAACAUAAAUAAAUAUAGAAGACUUUGUUAAAGACAUAAAUCUUUUAAGACAACAAGAUGAUUUUGAUUUGAAUAGUGAAUAUAAAGAAGAAGAAUUGGAUGAAGACAUUGAAAAUAUUGUAUCAAUAAAACAAAGUUGGAUUAUUUGGUGCAUACCACAGGAUGCACAAGUUCAGAGGGGAUGGAUGUCGUGUUGUAACAUGACUAUAUGGUGAAAGAUGAUAAUAUGGAUCUUAUUAUAGAAGAGCCAAGUUAAAAGAAAAGCUAGAAAAAUAUAGAUAAAAGAUAGGAAGGUAGUAAAACUUUUAGUAGUAAUGCUUCUCUUUUAGAAAAAAUAGCUUCUACUUACUUUGUAAGGCCAAAAAUAAGGCAAAGUAGGAUAGAUUGGAAAAAAAAUGAUAUAGACAUCUUUAGGAAGAAAUUGAGAAUAAAUUCUAGUAAAAAUUACUAAAAACAAAAACUAGAUGUUGAUACCCGGGGAGGGCCGGUUAUGAACCAAGUCGAAAUCAGACCCUGAGGCACAAAACCGAGUCUCGACAACGACUCUGGUACUCUUUGGCAGAUCGGAGAGUGGGAUUUCAAAGAAGAUUGGAUAGGGUUUCUAUGGGUAUUAAUUUUGGAUGAUUUGGAGUUGAUAUGACUUUGUAAGAGCUUUGCAAAGUCAAGGUUUGUUUUGGAUGACUUGGAUUUUAUGAAAUAAAAUAGGGUUUAUGUUUUGGGUGAUAUCAAGAGUUUUGUAAUAGAUCUAUGGGUGAAAAUUUUUGGGUUUAUGGUUAUAUUUGUAUUUAAUAUAUGUUGUAAAUUUAAGCUCGAUCUAAUGGUUGAAUUGAGGAAUAUUGAGGUUUAAGUGGAUCAAGGUCUCAAAAAGUAGAAUUUUAGGUCUAGUAGGGGUUUUUAAGAUUUCUUGCAAUAUACUCAUUGGAUUAGAGUGAAACUUACAUAAGAGAAUAUUAGACUUGAUUUUCUAUGUGUAUAAGAAUUUUGAAAUCAAUCGAAUGGUGCAAAGGAGAGAUAUUGGCUUUGGAAGAUUGGCAUCAAGAUUGGAGAAGGAGGCCGGCCAAUACCCAAGCACAUUUUUGAGGUUAUCAUCAAUUCCAUAAUUCCGAUCCUUUUCAAAUUUUUUUUUGCUUGUUUUUGACUUUUUUUUUUAGAAGUGUGCAAAAUUUGAGUUAAGAUCAACGGUUUAUUCAUUAGUUAUUGAGUUUUAAAUUUGUUGUAGGAAUUACUAGGAUUUGGUUUAGGGUUUGGUUAGGGUUUGGUUUAAGAUUUAGGAUUUGGAUUAGGGUUUGAUUUAGGGUUUAAGGUUUGGUUUAGGAUUUGAGAUUUAGAAUUUAUUUAGGGUUUAGAGUUUGGAUUAGGAUUUGAUUUAGGAUUUAGAAUUUGAUUUAGGAUUUGGGAUUUAGGAUUUAUUUAGGAUUUAGGAUUUGGUUAAGAUUUGGUUUAGGAUUUGGUUAGGGUUUGAUUUAGGAUUUAGGGUUUGAAUUAGGGUUUGGUUAAGAUUUGGUUUAGGAUUUGAUUGGGAUUUGGUUUAAGAUUUAUUUAGUGUUUGAUUCUGGAUUUAGGAUUUUAUUAGGAUUUAAGAUUCAAUUAGUUUUGGCCUAAAGUUUGAAUGAAGUUCAAUAGGAUUUUAACUAGAAUUAAAUUGAGAUUGAAUUGAGAUGUAUUUGAGUGAUAUUUGUGAUCCUUCUAAUAUUUCUUUAAGAAUUCCUAUUAUUUUUUUGAAAUUUCUUUGAGAUUUGUUUUUAAUUUGAUUAAGCUUGCUUAGUAUUAUUAUGGUCUAAUUAGAGCAUUGUUAGUAUUCUAUUAGAAUUAAGAUUUUAUUAUUAUAAUUUCCAUUCUUCAUUCCACAGCCAGGUGCUCGGAGUAUUCUUAAGCAAGACUUCACAUAUUACAACAACGGUCAUCAUCUAAAGUUAGAUAUGAUAGAACCUUCAAAGUCGACAAAUCCUUGAAUAGAAGAAUUUGCUAUGAAGUUGGCUAGACUUCAAGCAAUUAUGAAUAUUCAUCUAAAAAAGACUCUACAAUAUUAUAAGCUAGCAGUGGAUGAAUUUAGGAAAGAAGAUCCUCCAUUUUAAGUUGGUGACAAAGUAUGGCUUCUUUGGCACAAUAUA
rnacentral:lncRNA from 1 species